UCUUUGGUUAUCUAGCUGUGUGACUUACUCAACUAGUCAUAAAGCUAGGUUACCAAAGUUA
rnacentral:pre_miRNA from 1 species